AUUGUGUGCUCGUGAUUUCUAGUAAAUCACUCUCAUUCGCUUCGUGGUUUUGCCGAGCUCAGUUGCGCGGGCUUGUAAUUCAAUCGUUUUGCAUUGAGUUACUGCGCUGAAAUGGACAUGCUUCUGUCAGGGUAGGAAGGAACUCUUAAAUAGGGUGAUGUCCUGCCCCUGAAUCUUUCAGGUCACCGCAGCUAACUGGUAGGAAUGAACUCUUAAACAGGGUGAUGUCCUGCUCCUGAACCUUUCAGGUCACCGCAGCUAACUGGUAGGAAUGAACUCUUAAACAGGGUGAUGUCUACCCCUGAAUCUUUCAGGUCACCGCAGCUAACGCAACUAGCAGGAGUUUAACAGUGUUAAAUAAAGUUUGAAUUGUACGGGUGAACUACUUAGAAUUAUACGGGUGAACUACUGGAGAAAAUGCAUUGCUACGCAACACAUCACAUUCGACUAUACGCGUAUCAACAGCAAAACGGGCAUGUAUGGGUAGAAGCAGGGGCGAAGCUAGAGCUGGGAUGACCCUGGUGCACUGCUUUAACAUUGUAUUCAUUUGCCUAUAUGUUAUGUAUAUCAAUUUUUUUUACAAUGGUUGGGGGAGAAAUAGACGGCUCACGACAUUAUUAGUACAUCCAUUCUUAGGCCCUCCAUACCUCCACAGUGUACAAGUGAUGCCUGAAAAUUAGAAGGGCCCUGCGGCAGGAAACAGGAAUUGACGGGAUCAGCUGCAGCGUGAGAAAAACUGGGCAUUGUCUGUUUGGUUAGCGCGCUAAUGGUUAGUGCUAACAAUUAGUGCGAAGGAAUUUUACUAGUAAAUAAAAUUUAUUUAAAAACCUAUUUUAAAGAUGGGUGUAAUUUCGCCAGACGAAUCCAAUGAACACAAAGUAACUGGGGACGGACGAGGAAAGGGCGGAAUCGGAGGUUGGAGCGAGCACGCGUGAGUAGCUAUUGUGCCGGAGAAGAAGCACAGUACCAAAGCUGGGAGGAAGAAGAAAUGCUCAAGAUUGUCCCAUGAAGAUCCUAUGAUAUAUGCUUAUUAGGGAGUUAAAAAUUAGGCGCUAGCGCAAUAACAUGUCCCUGAAUAUGUAUAUGUGUUAAUAUGGGAAUUUAAAAUAGAAAGAUUCUAAAUGGCCA